UGGGGAAUAUUGGACAAUGGGCGGAAGCCUGAUCCAGCAACGCCGCGUGAGGGAUGACGGCCUUCGGGUUGUAAACCUCUUUCAGCACAGACGAAGCGCAAGUGACGGUAUGUGCAGAAGAAAGGACCGGCCAAACUACGUGCCAGCAGCCGCGGUAAUACGUAGGGUCCGAGCGUUGUCCGGAAUUAUUGGGCGUAAAGGGCUCGUAGGCGGUUUGUCGCGUCGGGAGUGAAAACACCGGGCUUAACUCGGUGCUUGCUUUCGAUACGGGCAGACUAGAGGUAUUCAGGGGAGAACGGAAUUCCUGGUGUAGCGGUGAAAUGCGCAGAUAUCAGGAGGAACACCGGUGGCGAAGGCGGUUCUCUGGGAAUAUCCUGACGCUGAGGAGCGAAAAGUGUGGGGAGCGAACAGGAUUAGAUACCCUGGUAGUCCACACCGUAAAANGUUGGGCGCUNGGUGUGGGGGUCCAUUCCAACGAUUCCGUGCCGCAGCUAAACGCAUUAAGCGCCCCGCCUGGGGAGUACGGCCCCAAGGCUAAAAACUCAAAUGAAUUGCGGGGUCAUAAGCU
rnacentral:rRNA from 1 species